AGCUUUGUGCAGUGGCAGUAUCAUAGCCAUGAGGUUUAUCUGAGGUACACUUACUGUUAAUUGAAAGCUUUUCCCAGUACCCUCCAUGAUGACUUGCAGUAUAGUCAGCAAUGGCAAUUUUUGACAGUCUUUACAGAGA
rnacentral:snRNA from 1 species